UCCCAAUCCCCUCGUGCCGCACCAGCAGAACCCUAGCCCCUUUCCCCGAUCCCCACAGCAGCCGCACACUCUCCUCGCUCGCAGCCUCCUCCUCUCCUCUCCCCCACGCCGCCGGCCUUGUCUCUCCCCCACGCCGCCGGCCUUGUCUCUUCGCUCGUCUCCUCCUCUCUUCCAUGCCUCCAUGGUUCCAGACUGGGAACUGGUCAUCGUCGUGCGAGAGCAGGGCAACGGGGUCUUCGCGGAGGAGUGGAGGGGGAGGAUGCGGACGACAGGGCGAAGGAGGUGGCUGGCGAGGAGGACAAGUAGCAGGGGGGAGGAGAAGGGUGACGCCUCGCACACCGUCUCCUCCCCGCGGCGGUUGGCCGGUCGACUCGUCGCGCCACCGCGUCCUCACCUCCUUUGCGCCAUGAGAGGCGCCGCCUCUGCUUCCACCCCCGCUUCCUGCUUCCUUCCUCCUUUGCACCACAGCUGCUGCUCUACUCCCUCCCUUGCCAGCCACCGGCUCACGAACCUCCCUCGUUUGGGCCAGGGCAGAAGGCCAUGGCGAAUCUUGCGUCUCUGGAAGAAGCAGCAGGGUUGGUGGAGCGUCGAAUACGGGCGGGGUCAACGGUUGAGGGAGGGUCGCCCACCGAAACAGCAGGAGAAAGACCUUGAGUGAAGCUGCAUCAUCCAACAUAGCGAGAUGAAGUACUCAGAAAAAAUUGCAGCAAGUGCGAUUGAUAGUCAAGGAAUUGAUUUGAUUCUGAAUCUUCCGUUCUUCAGAUUUGUCUGAAGUGGAACGGACGGUCGUCACCUUUGACUAAGCUGCUGAGCCCAAGAAAUGUGGCAGACUGGUGGCCUAGCUGUUCAACUUCUCAACACGGUUCAAUUUUGUCUUUGGUCAUCCUUGCAUACACUCGGCAGAGAAGUAUCUAUACUGAAUUUCUGCUCUAGGUAAUUUAUACUCAUAUAAUUUAUCUCUAAUACGCAGUCCAAAUCAUUAGUGCUAGAUCGACAAUUUUUAAGCCCUAUUUGUGGAAGUGCAUUGCAUGUGUAACUAAACUGGGCCUGCACUACUUGCUGCAUCUGUGUUGUAUGCGUUUAGCCAUGAUGUACUCGAGGAAGCUCGAGUUCCUCGACUUUUACAGGUACCAUCCGCCUCCCUCCCGAUAUUCAGAUCUCCGUAUUUGGUGAAUGCGGUGUUUUGGUUUUGUUUCUUGUAUGAUUUUGUGUGUAUGUGCUGGGAGUAUUGAUUCUAGGUGUUAUAUGAUAUGUAUAUUUCCGUGCGAACAUGUGUAGAGUGAGUCGUUGUUAUAUGCCUUGAACAUUAGAAAACCAGAUGAUCAGGAACAACAUAUAGGAAAGCUACUGGAAAGCUACUGUUGUUACCGUGUUGUGAGAUUAUGUAAAGCCUGAACAAGGAGAAUUUUGGGGGUUCCACUCCUUGAAUUUGGUCCAGAAUAAAUGGUUGUUUCCUAUUGCUUGUUCAAAAACUUGUCUGAAAUUAUCAGAGUGAUAUGAGUUCAGGUAUGGUUUGGACUGUCUGUGUGCUUUCUCAAACACAAAGCUAACGAAAAAAUGGGGAUUAUGUUUUUAGUUCGAGCGUGGAUACUCGGCAGUAGCGAUUUAGGUCUUUUUGUAGAACAGAAUGAUUAACUCGGUCUAUUUCUGGAAAACUGCACUGUAGAAGAUAUAUGUAUGAACGAUUGUAACACUGAAAAUGCAAAAUUUACAGUAUGUGGUAGUGAUGGUUGGUGGGGUGUGACUUUUUUGCUGGCAUUGUCCAGUGCAGUUUUAGGAUUUCUACUGAGUGGUGCCGCGUUCUGAGAUUUGUUUUUGUGUGUUGCUGUCUGCAGGAAAAUUCCUAGGGAUUUGAUUGACGGAGGCAUCAGUAUCUGGCAUUGUCCAAGAAGCCAUCGGUGGGGCUGGUGACUGUGGGAUGCUCGCUUGACCCCCUGUCCACAACAAAAACCGGAGGAACCUUCACUUUGUAUAGAUGGUGAUGGAUAUGGACAUAUAAGAACACCUCCCUUCCGAAAAUCAACUAGGGCAGAUAAGAAAACCCACCUGAGAAUCUAUUGUAUACCAUAUUUUUUAGCCUCUUAACAUGUCCAUGUACAUGUUGUAGUCUAUAUUUCGAUAUAGAAUAUAUUGUUACAUGCAACUGUUUGAGUUGGGGCCAUUGCUGCUGCCGGCUAAAAUUAUAAUAUUUGUAACUAAUAUUUUUGGUUGACAUAUUACUAGCGAAUUGGAUAUCAUAUCCCUAAACUAGGAAUUCUUUCAUUAUUGGAGGUUUUCAUCUGCAUAUACAAGGUAGCAGAAGAAGCAGGUAUGCUGGUCUUGAUGUGGUUUUGGACUGAAUGUUUCUCACUUGGAGGAAUGCUUUUUGCUAAAAUCAAUAUAUUUUUCAGUCCCCAACGAUUUUAUUCCUCAGCGCCCAAUGGACUUCUAUCAAUAUUUUCUUCCAAACAAUGUAUUGAAUUGACUAUGAUUCAUUGGAGUUAUUUGACAGAGAGAAAUAUUCUCUGUAUACUGGAUACAGUUACUCAUGAUAGGUCCUUUUACUCCCUAGCGACAAAUACACUCAUUUUUAGUUUUAUGUACCGCCAUUGACAUAUAUCUUUUCUUCCAAACUGUGAGACAUUAUGUAAAUGUACAUCGGGGAAUGUAUUAUGUACAUGUAUAUUAUUUCAAAUGGGUCUCUGCGAACAUGGUAGCAAGUAUUUUGUGCUAUCAGAUUAGAAUGUGUGUAUACAUCUCAUUGUUGACAACAAUGCACCAUAAUUAAGUUUCCCUUCUUUCAGCUUAUUUGUUGCUACCUGAGAUAGUACCAAGUAUGAUCUUUGGUUUGCCAUGUACGACACCGCGGAGUCAUUUUAUUAAGCUGGCAUUAGUAAUUUUGCAUUUUACAUAGUUCAUGUGCAAGUUAAACGUAUGUCCAAUAAUUACUAAUAUUAAGUUUAUAAUGUUGGCACAGUCUGUUAUUGCCGUUAUCUUCUUGGGAGUACUUGAGAAGGCGUGGCUGGGAAUGUGGGGACAUGCCAUGGCAGAGGCGCAUGGUCGGCAGGAGGAGUCAGGGAGGCCUGAAGGUGGACAUGUGGAUGUUAUCGCGGCAUUGACACAUUUCGCUCCACCGAUGCUACAUACCAGGGAUUUGUUGGAAGCCACAGAGCGCACCCGAGAAAGAGAGGAGGAGAAUGCUCUGAAGAGAGGAAAUGAUAAGUUUUAUUGUUUUGUUUUAAGAGAAAGGGAUUUGAUAUGUAGUCCUCUGGCUUAUUUGUAUUCUACUAUGUGUAUGGCCAAAGAAAUCAUGAUUUCAUACACAUAUAUUUUUAAACAAAACCCUAUGUAUGUUUUGCUCAAACAGUGUCAUUGGAAAGCGCUCAUAUUUUCAAUGCGUACAUGAUUUUAAAUGGUUCUUUGUGAAGAUGGUAGCAAA